rnacentral:rRNA from 1 species
CAAGAUUAAAACUCAAAUGAAUUGACGGGGGCCCGCACCAGCGGUGGAGCAUGUGGUUUAAUUCGAUGCAACGCGAAGAACCUUACCUACUCUUGACAUCCACAGAACUGUCCAGAGACGGACUGGUGCCUUCGGGAACUGUGAGACAGGUGCUGCAUGGCUGUCGUCAGCUCGUGUUGUGAAAUGUUGGGUUAAGUCCCGCAACGAGCGCAACCCUUAUCCUUGUUUGCCAGCGAGUAAUGUCGGGAACUCCAGGGAGACUGCCGGUGAUAAACCGGAGGAAGGUGGGGACGACGUCAAGUCAUCAUGGCCCUUACGAGUAGGGCUACACACGUGCUACAAUGGCGCAUACAGAGGGCGGCCAACUUGCGAAAGUGAGCGAAUCCCAAAAAGUGCGUCGUAGUCCGGAUUGGAGUCUGCAACUCGACUCCAUGAAGUCGGAAUCGCUAGUAAUCGUAGAUCAGAAUGCUACGGUGAAUACGUUCCCGGGCCUUGUACACACCGCCCGUCACACCAUGGGGAGUGGGCUGCAAAAGAAGUGGGUA